UACGAAGGUGGCAAGCGUUGUUCGGAUUUACUGGGCGUACAGGGAGCGUAGGCGGUUGGAUAAGCCCUCCGUGAAAUCUCCAGGCUUAACCUGGAAAGUGCAGAGGGGACUGUUCAGCUAGAGGAUGGGAGAGGAGCGCGGAAUUCCCGGUGUAGCGGUGAAAUGCGUAGAGAUCGGGAGGAAGGCCGGUGGCGAAGGCGGCGCUCUGGAACAUUUCUGACGCUGAGGCUCGGAAAGCGUGGGGAGCAAACAGG
rnacentral:rRNA from 1 species